rnacentral:rRNA from 1 species
UUUGAUCAUGGCUCAGAUUGAACGCUGGCGGCAGCUUAACACAUGCAAGKCGAGCGUAACAGGGGGAGCUUGCUCCCCGCUGACGAGCGGCGGACGGGUGAGUAAUGCAUAGGAAACUGCCCAGUAGUGGGGGAUAGCCCGGGGAAACCCGGAUUAAUACCGCAUACGSCCUUUGGGGGAAAGCAGGGGAUCUUCGGACCUUGCGCUAUUGGAUGUGCCUAUGUCGGAUUAGCUAGUUGGUGGGGUAAGAGCCUACCAAGGCGACGAUCCGUAGCUGGUCUGAGAGGAUGAUCAGCCACAUCGGGACUGAGACACGGCCCGAACUCUACGGGAGGCAGCAGUGGGGAAUAUUGGACAAUGGGGGCAACCCUGAUCCAGCCAUGCCGCGUGUGUGAAGAAGGCUUUCGGGUUGUAAAGCACUUUCAGUGAGGAGGAAAACCUUAAGUUUAAUACGCUUGAGGCUUGACGUUACUCACAGAAGAAGCACCGGCUAACUCCGUGCCAGCAGCCGCGGUAAUACGGAGGGUGCAAGCGUUAAUCGGAAUUACUGGGCGUAAAGCGCGCGUAGGUGGUUUGAUAAGCGAGAUGUGAAAGCCCCGGGCUCAACCUGGGAACGGCAUUUCGAACUGUCAGGCUAGAGUAUGGUAGAGGAGUGUGGAAUUUCCUGUGUAGCGGUGAAAUGCGUAGAUAUAGGAAGGAACACCAGUGGCGAAGGCGCA